rfam:Streptococcus sp. DF1 DF1_Contig9, whole genome shotgun sequence.
GGGGUCGUUACGGAUUCGACAGGUAUUAUUGAGCAUGAAGUGCAACUAGGAUUUGCAAACCUUAAUCUGCUAAAAAAAAUAUAACUGCUAAAAACAGUAAUAAUUACGCAGUAGCUGCCUAAACCCCAGCUCUCGUGAACUAGAUUUUGCUCGCCCAUGGUAAUUUCCAGUUCUCAAAUUAGUGGGAUACGUUGUUAAAUUGUCUAGCUUUAACAAAAGAGAUUUAUAGACUAGCCGUUAACUCAGUUGAGCUGUGUCUGUGUUAAAUGGUUAAAUUAAUGCACAGCCUAUGGUUGUAGACCUUUGUGUAGCAAGAUAUUUGGACGUGGGUUCGACUCCCACCGGCUCCAUAC